AAACGAGACGCGAACAGCUGCUUGGAAUCCAAUAAGAGGGGGUGAGGGGGAUUUUCAGUCGAUUCGACCGAGACAGAGACGGAUCGUUCAAAUUUUAGAAAGAUUUUUGGGGAUAUAGAAAUGGAUGAGGAUAUAAUGAUUUUAUGGUGCAGUGAGUUGGAAGAAUUCGAAAUUGAAUUUAUAAUUUUAUUUAUAUAUUUGAAGAUAAAGAGGGUGAGGAAUUUUGUGGUGCCGUGAGUUCGAGGAAUUUGAAAUUGAAUUGGAUUGUGUAAGAAAUUUCUUUUCGUAAUCUUCAAAACAAGAAUAAAUCCGGUAGAAACACAGAAAUAGAUAGAAUAAAAAUAAAAGACGAACACGUAAUACCAGCCCCGAAACACAUCGAAGUCGAAAGACAAACGGGCGAAACUCGUUAUGAAAAUAGUAUGAAAAGUAUCACGGGCAAAAUAUGCAAACCUGUUCUCGUCCAGAGAAAUGCAACACUCACAGAAUGGCCUUUGCUCGAAAGUCGAAGACCUUCUUGCGGUCCUUCGACCGCCUAUCUUUUCCAAUGACAAAAAUGGAAGAAUCCUCUUGCGUUCUCUUGCGUUUUCUUGGAAUUAAACCGUGAACCUUCGUGAGUUCCACCUGUUGAGUCGAAGAGGCUGCAGGACAAACUUUGAUGGAAAGAAGAGGAGGAAAGUGUUGUUCAUUCUCGGAAAAAGGAAAAACAGAGUACGACUCUGAUAAUGUAUCCAACUGUAAACAAACGAUUGUUCAUACAUUCGUGUAUCCAUAUUUUUUUAUUUCAUUAUAAUAUGAGUUUGAAGUAUAAUUUUCCAAUAAUAAUAAAGCAUAAAAGACAGAGCAAAGUCAGAGCAAAGAUAACUUGAAAUAGCUUAACCUAACCUCCAAAUUGCGAUUCACGAAGAUAAUAUUAAAAAAAAAAAGAAGAAGAAUUAAUCGAUAAUGGAACACGAGAAAAAUACGAGAUCAAAGCCUGAGGGCGUAAGUUCAAGAGAAAAGGAGGGAAAACGUGAAAACCAGCGAAUCAACAGAUAUAGAAAAAUUGCAACAAGCCAAACGAUGACUAGAUAUGCGGCUUGCAUGCUGCGCGUACAAAACGAUUCCCUGUUUCAUUACCGUGGACUGCGGUAUUGUAUUGGCGUUCGAACAAAUUGCUUUCUUCUUCCAUAUAGUUUUCGAGCUGCGGAUAUCAUAAAUACCGGCCCACCUAUGGGAAAUUCGUCGGUUAGGAGUCAUGAGUUAUCGGCAUCCGCGCCACAAGAAUCGAAAUGGGACGUUUUUCUAAUCGAUCCGCGUGAAAAUAAUGUCCGACGCGAAUAUUCUUUUAUGUUAUAUAAGCAAAUUGAGAAUUUUUAUGCAUAAAUAAUUUGAAAAUUCGCGAAUACAUAGAGAACAAAAUUUAUUCAAAAGUGAAAGUAUUCGUAGAAAUAUUUAAUGACAAACAAUUUUUCAUAUUUAUAUUUUCUAUAUUUAUAUUUGCAUUCUAAUUAUAAGAUGGACGAGAUACAUAUCGAAGUGUGACAAGUAAAUUAUAUCUUAGUACUGCUGUACAAAGAAAAAUUAAAUUUCAGGGACUAUAAAGAAAUAGAUGGAGAUUAAAAUCGAGAAGAAAAUCAAAUCGGUCGGCUAAGGAUUUAAGGUCAGGUAGAGAGGAAUAAGCCGUUGAGGAGAGAUUCUUCUCGAGAUUAAACUCCCUCAAAUCGGACAAAUGAGGCGAAGAUCAUCGACCA